AGUGAACGCUGGCGGCAGGCCUAACACAUGCAAGUCGAACGGCAGCACAGUAAGCUCUUGCUCUUAACGGUGGCGACUGGCGGACGGGUGACGAAUACAUCGGAUUCUACUUAUUCGGGGGGGACUACGGAGGAAAAGUUACGCUAAUACCGCAUAUGUCCUACGGGAGAAAGCAGGGGAGAAUCACACCUUUCCCGUUUGAAUUAGCCGGAGUCGGAUUAGCUAGGUGGCGAGGUAAAGGCCCACCAAGGCGACGAUCCGUAGCGGGUCUGAGAGGAUGAUCAGCCACACUGGAACUGAGACACGGUCCAGACUCCUACGGGAGGCAGCAGUGGGGAAUCUUCGGCAAUGGGCGAAAGCCUGAUGCAGCAAUGCCGCGUGAGUGAAGAAGGCCUUCGGAUUGUAAAGCCCUUUUGUUAGGGAAGAACAACAGCAGGUGAAUCCCCGGCUGUUCUGACGGUACCCAAACAGUAAGCCCCGGCUAACUUCGUG
rnacentral:rRNA from 1 species